UACGGAGGGGGCGAGCGUUAUUCGGAAUUAUUGGGCGUAAAGGGCGCGUAGGCGGCCUUUCAAGUGACGGGUGAAAUCCCUCGGCUUAACCGAGGAACUGCCUGUCAGACUGGAAGGCUUGAGACCGGGAGAGGUGAGUGGAAUUCCCAGUGUAGCGGUGAAAUGCGUAGAUAUUGGGAGGAACACCAGUGGCGAAGGCGGCUCACUGGACCGGUACUGACGCUGAGGCGCGAAAGCGUGGGGAGCAAACAGG
rnacentral:rRNA from 1 species